GCGGAAGUAGCUCAGACGAAAGAGCGCCGGCCUACCACGCCGGAGGUCGCGGGUUUUAAGUCCCGUCUUCCGCU
rnacentral:tRNA from 1 species